rnacentral:rRNA from 1 species
UACGUAGGGGGCAAGCGCUGUCCGGAUUCAUUGGGCGUAAAGAGCGUGUAGGCGGCCAGGUAGGUCGGUUGUGAAAACUGGAGGCUCAACCUUCAGAGGUCGACCGAAACCAUCUGGCUAGAGUCCGGGAGAGGAGAGUGGAAUUCCUGGUGUAGCGGCGAAAUGCGCAGAUAUCAGGAAGAACACCCGUGGCGAAAGCGGCUCUCUGGAACGGUACUGACGCUGAGGAGCGAAAGCGUGGGGAGCGAACAGG